CGGGUCGCCCUGCCCCGGAUUUGGGAAGCCCCCGCUUUCAGCGUGCUCUGGGCGCAGUCAGGAACGACCCACACCGCCCUGCGGAUCUGACGCGCUUGUGCCCCAGAACCCCGAGCUCACAGAGGCCGAAUUCUCCUGCCAACCGCAAAAGAAGCGCCAAAACCCCGGGGUAACUGCAGUUGCGAUGCAGAGCCUGUGAGAAAAGCGGCGCGGCGCCGGCUCAGUGGCUCAGACACGGAGGCCGGCGCCCGCAGCCCUGCCGGCACCACGCCUACUCUCAGAUGCGGCAGCCACGCCUGGCCGCACACACAGACGGCGCUGGAAGCGUCUUUCCAGGCCGGCCCACGCCCCAGGGCGCCAGACGUCGCGCGGCUGCUCACGCCGCAAACACCGCGGAAAUGUCGCGCAGAGCCGUAAAAGCAGCGGGCUGGACGAGGGAGGCCCUCGGCUGGGGCGGCAGGGACUCCUGGGAAAUGUCGCGCAGAGCCGUAAAAGCAGCGGGCUGGACGAGGGAGGCUCUCGGCUGGGGCGGCAGGGACUCCUGGGAAAUGUCGCGCAGAGCCGUAAAAGCAGCGUGAUGAACGAGAGAGACUCUGGGCACCGGAGCAGAGGCACUUGGGCAACGUCACGCAGAGCCUUAAAAGCGGCGGGACGGACGAGGGAAGCGCUCAGCUCGGGCGCCUGGGACUCGGGAAAUGUCGCGCAAAAGAGCUGCUGGGCCCACAAGAUUUUAUUUAUUUGACACAGAGAGAGAUAGCAAGAGCAGGAACACAAGCAAGGGGAGAAGCAGAAGGAGAAGCAGGCUUCCCGCGAAGCAGCGAGCCCGAUGCGGGGCUUGAUCCCAGGACCCUGGGAUCAUGACCUGAGCUGAAGGCAGACACUUAACGACUGAGCCACCCAGGCGCCCCACUGCAGAGUACUUCUUAAAAUCAGCUGCAUUCUGAUGACGCUUCAUGCUGGCAGUGGCGGUUCUUCCCGAGAGUAGCAGCCAAACCCAGUUUGCAGUUUUUUCCAGCACAGGCAGAACCAGGUACACUGUCAGCCCCAGCCAUCACCCCACAGAACUCGCUUCCUAGUCUAGAAAUUCCAGCACUGGCCAGGUGGCAGCCCUUCUGUAAGGCUCUGGUUUAAUAAUUCAGUGGUGAACACUGUUCUCUCAGCCUAUUGUGGAGAUAGUCCUAACAGCUGUGCAACCUCGUGAAUAAAUUAAAAACCACUAAAUUGUAAAUAGUUAAAAUGAUAGAUUUUAUCCCAGUUUUGACAUUUGUUAUACUGGGUAAAGAAACUGCAAUUUUGGUAAGCAAUAGUAAAGAUGUCACGAGAGCAUUCUUUAAAAAUUGUGGCAAAAUAUACACAUAACCUGAGUUGACCAUUUUUAGUUCAGUGGCACUGAGUACAUUCAUACUUUUAUGGAACCAUCCUCACCACAUCCAUUUGCAAAACUGAAACUCUACCCAUUAAACAGUAAUUCCCCCUUACCCUUUCCUAGUUCUGGCAUCCACUAUUCUACUUUCUGUCUCAAUUUGACUAAAGUGGAACCACACUGUGUAUGUCCUUUUGUGACUGGCUUACUUCACUUAUCAUGUCUUGAAAACUCAUCCAUGUUGUGGCAUGAGUCAGAAUUUCCUUCCUUCCCUAGGCUGAGGAUUUCCUUGUAUGUAAAUGCCGUAUUUCCUAUAUCCAUUCAGUCAACAGCAGACACUCGGGUUGCUUCCACCUUUUGGCUAUUGUGAAGAAUGCCAAUAACUGGGUGUACAAAUAUGUGUCCCUGUUUUUUUAUUUUAGAUGAAAAAGCUACGAUAUGUUUUUGAAGGGAGUGUGUUAAAGAUCAAAAUUUUUGAAAAUAUACCUCUUUUUUGCAUUAGCUUAAUUAAGGAUUAAGAAUUUAGUUGAUACCCACCCAAAAGAGAACCCAAAAAGAUCAAUGGUACUAUUUGCUUUAAAGAAACACAAAAGACAUAAAGGUAUCCAUUGCAAAUUUAUUAUGCAUUAGGAAGCUUAACUUAAAAACCAACAGCAUAGUAAAAAGAUAUGUUAUCUCUGUUCAUAGCAGAACAGGUUUCAAAAUAUAUUUUCUUUUAAAUGUAUUCAGUCAGUACACAAUCCUUUUAUAAAAGUUGUAUAUAUAUUUUUCUUUCAACACCUUCAUUACAUUUUUAAAUACAAGAUUUACACAGCACCCCAUCAAAAAAAAUUUAAAACUCCUUACAAAUAUCUACAUAUAUUUCAUACCUAUAAAACUUUCAGAGGAGUGCUCUGUUAAAGGUGGGUGGGGCCUAGUUAAUGGUAGAUUUAUUGGUGCAGGAAAAUACAUAUAAAUCUGUAAAGUUUUCUUUCCAUAGAACAUCUCGAAAAAUUAGCAAGACACUUAUUGUGAAACUGAGCUUCCUAAACCACAUUUUAGAAAACAAUCUGAUGUGCAUAUUCCCAUGAAAUUCAAAAGUCAGAUAAACAGAUGGAAAUAAAGACCCGACUAAAAACCGAUGCAUACAAUAGAGCAGUUAAGGCAGGAGUGAGAUGAACGAGAAAAACUGAGAAGACAGAAGAUGCAGCAAGGAGCAGAUGGUAAUAAUGUGUUCUAGGAGUCUGAACUUGGAUAUAAACUCCACUGGUAUCCAGUCACUAAUUCUCAUCCUCACUUAGGAAUAUUUGUAUUAUUGAAAACUUUCUUAGAAGCUCCCUUCAAAUUCUCUGUUGCUACUCGAAUACUUGAUGUGCAUUUUUCUUCUGUAAAAUCACCUGGGAUCUGACCAAAACACCAGGUCCAGCAAUCUGAGUUGCCAGUUCUUCAUAAUUUAAAAUUUUAAGAAAACUUUCCUUUUAUCUAAAUAAAGGUUAUCACUGAUUAUUAAUGUCCAGAGGUACAUUAAUUUGCUGAAUUUCAUUCUAGCCAAGAACAGGAAGUAGAGACCUUUGAACAAAGGCAAUAGAUCCCUGAUACUGAGUGACUCUUGGGGCGGCCACUCAUGAACACCCGUGGGCUAAGCGGGCACAGAUCAGAGAAACAGGAAGGAAGAAAAUAAGCAGGGACUUUUUACCUCAGAUCUUGUCAGAGAUGGCAGUCCACUCCCACCCUGCACCUUCCACUGAAAAGGAGAUGGAAAAACUGCUAUCACUCUUCCUCCAGAGUUAUUCAAGGAAAGCCAUCUUUCUGUUUGCGUUUCAAAGUUUGGACUCCAGAUGACUUUGAGAGUUGCAAAAUUUGCAGGAAAGUACUUUGAAUAUUGUUCUAAUAGACCACAAAAAGAAGGAAAGGAAUAGGAGCGGGGUGGGGGGGGCGGCGUGGAGGGAUGGAGAGGGUCACUUCUCAAACCUGGCCCUGAAGGGUGCCACUAGCAUCUCCCUUCCAGCACCAUGAAGUCUCCGUGUGGCGUGGCUCCCACGGCGCUCAGAGGAGGCAUCGGCAGAAUUCCCCUUUCUGCCAGUUCACAGCUCAGUGCACUGAUUCCCAGACUCCUCGAAGGAAGAGAGCUCCCAGAUGCUGCUGUCUUGCAGCAGUGGCUCAAUGUCCUCAUCACUGGCCCGCUCUGGGGUGUUGGUCAGGCUGCCGCUGAUGCUGUUGCUGUGUUUUUGAAGCCCACUGCCUUUACGGUAUUCAGGGAUGAAUAAGGCAACCAGGAAAGACAUGAGAACUAUACAUGCCCCAAAUAAAAACGGUGGGCCUGGGAUGACAGCUCCCUGAGGGGCAUGGGAAACAAAUGGAGACAAAGGAUUCGGUUAGUCUUCAAUCCAAAAUUAGCCCUGGACUCCCCCAGACCAUCAAAAAGUAAAUCAUUUUCUCAUAAGCGAAUGUUUCAUUAAGUAUCAAGGCAAAUUCCCAUAGAGCCUGUGUUUGGAAUAUGACAGAGGGCAACUAAUCAUUGUUCUUUGCACCACUUUUCAACAGCUUUUAAGUGGCAGUUGUGGGUCUCCAGUCCCCAUCCUGUGACCUCGCACUAUGUUCAUGAACACUAAGGACAAUUUUAUACAGAAAUUUACACUGAAGGAACGACUGAAGAAAUAUGUAGUAGAAAAAGCACUCUAGCUCCAUUUCUAGCAGGAAUCUAGGUCAUUUCGCAUUUUAUUUGGCCUUUGCCGGGCUUCACCAGAGGACGGGAUUCUGAUCAGAGUACUUGUGUAGGUAAAAAUGGACUCUGAACAAAAUUAAGACAGAGCUUUUUGCAGAAGAUACUACAUCACUGAACUGAUCCUUCCUCAAUCCCAGGAAGCACUGAACAUAGCACAUACAAUAGAAACAUCACAUGAACAAGAACAUUCUCCAAAUUUAAGUUCAGAUUUUGCUCUCAUCAGACAUAUGGUUGUUAUAAAACUAGACUUAUCACCAAAUUACCUGCAGGGCAGCAUUGUCAGAAUUCAAUUCUGGUUCCAACUCAGUCAGUUCCACAUGGAACAUGUAGAAUAUGAAGCCAUACAGUGCUGGUCCCAGGCCAUUACACAGCCCUCUUAUUCCAGUUAUGAUCCCCUGGGCAACUCCUACAUGAGAAUAGAGAGAAGGGAGCCAGUCUUCUCAGAAAAGCAUCUCGAGAUUAGGGACUUAACAGUAUUUUCCUACAAACUGUGAUCCACUGCUCAGCUGGACUAAGUAUGAGUAGUCUGUGCUAAGGGAAGUAGAUUAGGGACUUCGCCCAUCAUAGUUCCAUUCAGUGCACAAAUAUAUUACUGGUUUUACUAUGUCCUGUUAAUGUCCUAACUCUCCCCCCUAAGAUCUAUAAGGAGAUGAAAUGACAGUGAUGUUUGUGAAAUCUCUUUUGGGGCUGAAUUCCCCCCCGUAACAGCUAGAUCCUUCCUAUAAAUGGGGAAUAAAAAAUGAAAAAAACUCUAAUAUUCUCCAUUUAUAGGCAAUUUCCACUUUUCUAUGGAAUGAGAUUUUCCUCCUCUACUCAUCUAAUGGUCCUUUUACAGGAAAAAUCUGCCCUGUCUCCUGGAGCCCUGUGUGUGAGUCCAUAGCAGUCCCAAAGUUGUGUACUCGCGGCACAUUCACACAGACACUGCUCCUCAUGGUGACCUGCACUGAAAAAUCCCAGAAGUACCAACUUCUAGAUAUCUCUGGUUUCUAACGUGGCAGAUAAAAUAUUAGCUUGAAUCAUAUGAAAAUGGAUGUUUCCACAAGUCAAAAUUGUUCAAAUAUGAUUCAACUUAAUGUGUUCCAGUAAUGUUGUACGCUGACAUUUAGAAACCUCUGUAUUAGAACAUACAAGCAUAAUAAGAGCCAAAGAGAAUUCAUGUCAUGAAAGGCCAGAUGGUGCCUGUCAGACGUCAAGGCAGUGCCCACAGCUGUCUCACUUCUUCAGACAUAACACCUCCCCAAGGACACAUAGCCAAGGGAAACAGGGUGACACAGAAUCUGUCGUCUUCAAGUGACACUUUAAAAAUGGGUAUGAAUAAGAUGGCUAAUUUCUGAUGUGGAAAAGUAGGUGCAAUGAAUUAAUCUUUUCCAGUCCAGUUUUUGUUAGAACUUUUAAAAAGGCUCUAGUGAAUUUAAAAGAUUUUCCUUCUAAAAUUCACUACUUCCUGCCUACUUUAGGUGAGCCAUUAACAGAUGGAGAAGGAAAGGAUUAAUUCUGGCAGUGGGAACUGCCUGACAGAAGCCAGAGGUUCAUGAUGAGUCUAGACGGUAGAGCGCUAUUCUCCACAUGGUCGUCUCCAUUUUAAUUGUUUCCAAAGUAUACAUAUUUACUUAUUUAUCCCCUCAAAAAAUCAUUUCCUAAUUUAAGCUAAUGGACUUUGAUUCCAAAUUAAAGAAAUUUCAGUAAUUAUGGUGAUUAAAUAAAGAACUCAUUGCUUUACUAACCAGUCUUUCCUAAUUUGACAUACAUCUGUUAAAAUGAUUCUGGUGGUAAAAGACUCAAAACUGAAGAGAGAAAAUGGAUAGUUUUGGUUUUGUUUUUUGUUUUUAUUUUGGAUAGUUCUAUUUCUAAUCCUUAGUAUUCUGAAAGUCCAGAAGCAGGAGGGAAAAGAGAAAGCUGUAAUUGCUGAGAAGGGACCACAUGGCUAUCACCUGCUCCGUGACCUGGAGUAUAUCUUAGCUAAAGGAGGAAAACAGGAAGGGGACAGUGACCUCACCUUGCUGAUCUGACUCUGCGUUCCGAGAGACAAGGGCGCUGACUGCUGGAAAUGUGAUGCUGGACAUGGCGGCCACCGUCCCUGCUGCCCACAUCAUCCUGCAAUGACAAGAGCGACUGCAGUCAGGUGGCAGGCCAGCCCUAAGGAGCUUACCGUUCAGAGUACAAUCUGACAGAAUCACAAAAAGCUUUCUGUUAGGUUGUAUUUAUUUUUCCCUCUUUAAAAAAUGGUUUUUUGUUUUUGUUUUUUUUUUUAAACCUGGAAGGUCCUACAUCAUACUGUUAAUAAUGAUUACUUCACAGCUGGGAAGAUUUCAUUAUUUUAUGUUACCUCCUUCGAAAUCCGUUCUUCCUCCUUGUUUGCCCAUUACCAUCUUUAAGAUGUAUAAGCUCAAUGAAGUUCAAAAGGAUUUGUUUCUAUAAACACCACAUCUUCCUCACUGAUUUUCCACUUUUCUCUCUGUGUUUCUCACCUUCACACUGCCCUCGGGCUGCUCAGUUUGCCACCCCUCAAGCAAGUGUCAUGUGCCACCAACGGAAACAACAGAGACCUGAAGUUCAGGGUCACUACAAAAGAAACUAGAGUGUGAGCAAAGUGAGGCCCUAAUCAGGCUGAAAACCUGUUUGGCCAGACUUUCCUUGGGGAGGCUAAUGUGCACGUCCUUACUGAAAAGAAAAACCCCUGCAUGUCAACAAAAUCUUUGAAACAUAGCACAGGUCUGACCGAAUCAGCUAUUGAACCAAAGUUCACAGGACCGGAAUCUUCAAGAACAAGAAGAAUCAACCAUUGAACCACUGACCACAUUUCUAGCUCCUCUAAGCAUGUGUAAAGUGAGGAUCAAUUCUCGUAUGUAAAACAGAGAUAGAAAAUCUGGUAUUUGGUAAGCAGGCACAUGUAUUUCCUCUUAACUCCUCAGGGCUUAUUUUGAACUUCCUUCCUGUUUGUGGGCAUCUAAUGUGCUAGCAGUAAUAACUGCCUCAGGGCACACAUGGUUUUGGAGAUCUCUGUGUUUGUCUAACUCAGAUGCUUUAUGUUACAAAGGUUAGGUCACUACCCAAAGUCACUCAGCUGAUUAUGGCAGUGAACCCCAUCAUAACCAGUCAUUUUUUCUUGUCUUCUUGUGGACUAUGUGAGGUCACUAAAAAUUGACAAAUGUGGGCGCCUGGGUGGCUCAGUUGGUUAAGCGACUGCCUUCAGCUCAGGUCAUGAUCCUGGAGUCCCGGGAUCGAGUCCCAUGUCGGGCUCCCUGCUCAGCAGGGAGUCUGCUUCUCUCUCUGACCCUCCCCCCUCUCAUGCUCUCUAUCUCAUUCUCUCUCUCAAAUAAAUAAAUAAAAUCUUUUAAAAAAAUAAAUAAAUAAAAAAUAAAAAUUGACAAAUGUGUUUAAAAAGCAGACAUAAAACUUUCUUGAGGCGUUGGAGGACGCACACACAUCCAAUUAAAUAAGAACUUCACCGAUGAGGCAAAGGCAAUUUAACAAAAAUCUGAAAGUACUUACCAACUCCAUCCUUCCCCACAUUAAGUCUGAACAUCCUUUUUGAAAUACUGAGUACACCAAACCAGCAAAAUAACCCUUCCUUCACAUCACAUUCAACCAACUCAAGUUCUAAAAGAUGCUUCCGUCUAUUACUUUAUGAGGAUUCAAAGGAGAGGCUUACCAGGCCUGAGAUCCAAAACCAUACCAGGCUAACUGGAACAUCUGGAAGCCCAAGCCUAGGAGGACAGUAUUCUUAUUCCCUAAUGAUCUCAUCAAGAUGGUAAGAAAGACGGUCUGUAAAAACAAAGGAGAUAAUCUUGAGAAACCAUGUGAGUGCACAGAUUCGAUGCAAGCUUGAUGAGGGGAGCCCAUUUACAAUGACCAGGGGCCUCUAUGGGUACACAGCCUGGCCUGAGAGUUGGGGAAGCCACGCAAUACUGACGGAGCUUUCGAGUCGAGCUGUGGGGGUUCCAAGGCUAACCUGGGGCUCAGGGCCUUCAGAGCCCUCUCCAAAGCCUGUUUAUCUAAUGCUUUGCUAGCACUUUCCAAAGGUCAUCAUAGCUGUUCACCCAUUAUCAUGAUUGAGAAGCACAUGACGCAGACGCUUUGGAGAAAUGCCAAUCACUUAACCACCAGGGAAGAGCAAACCCCUGUUGAACAUUUACAGACUAUGUGGGAUUCUGCUGGAAGUUACCGGUGUCAGAAAGUUGGACUAAUAUGAAUUUGACUUUAACAGAUAUACAGUCUGUAAAGGCAGAGGAUAAAAGAUGAGUUCUGGCUAACUGACUAACCAGAGUUGCUAUAAAUGCAAACCAAAAUCAUGAGCAACUUGAAAGUUCAACAUACUUUACAUUCACUAAAAAGUUCGGUAAGAAAAAAUAAAAGGCUUUUUUGCCUUGAUGCAGUCCUUUGAGCCUUGUCAGUUCUAAUGUUCGGGCAAAACCGUUUCAGAGCCUUCUUGUUUCUCCUUGAAGAGCACUCUGCUGGGCCCCAUGCUAUAAAGCAGCAUGAAGCCGUCUGAGGGAGUAGCCUCUAGGCAGUCCCAUGUGAUAUUGUGAGUGCACCCAGGCAUGUCAGUGAGUUCAUUUAAAGGUCAUAUACCCUGCCUUUUGUGGUCUUCUAUUUAUAAUAGGUGGGGAAAUGUUUAAUGUUUACUCAUUUCAUAUAUUCUAAUGCACUCAUUACCACAUCUCUUCAGUCCUGGGGAUAGCAGGGUUGGGAACAGUUGCUGAUUUCAUUUCUGUUUCCCACUGCUAACUAAACUUUCCUCAUUAACCAGGAGAGUGCUUCUUUAUUUUAAGCUUAUUUUGCAGUAUAUGGAGUUAGACUAUUGGUGGUUGUAAAAGCAAAUUGUUAUUUGCUGAAAUGACCAGUAGAGGUAACAGGUAUCCUAAAAAGUACUGAAAAGCUGUAUUAAAUUCCUCCUAAAUUACAAUCUCAACAUUCUAUUAAAAAUGAUGCAGAAGUUCUGGGGUGCCUGGGUGGCUCAGUCAGUUGAGAAUCCAGCUGUUGAUUUUGGCUCAAGUCAUGACUGGUGUCAUGAGAUCGAGCCCUGUGUUGGGCUCUGAGCUCAGUGUGGAGUCUGUUAGAGAUUCUCUCUGCCUCUGCCCACCCCACCCCCCAUCCCGGGCUGCCUCUCUCUCUCUCAAAAAAAAAAAAAAAAAAGAUGCUUCUGUAGACUGUAUCCAUGCCUGUUUACUGGGUCUGAUAUUGUACCACAGAUAUAAGAGAUGUUACCAUGGCAGGGGAGGAGGGGAGUACUGACAGAGGGGUGCCAGGGUUCCCUAUGAACAUUUAUUUCUUUGCAGUUACUGUAAAUCUAGUUAUUUCCAAAUAAAAAUGAUAAAGAAAAAAAUGGAUGAAAUGACACUCACCUGAGCCACAAUAGACAGAAUUCCUACCAUAGCUAUGAAUGCCGCAAUCUUAACAGAUCCAAAACCUAUGACCUGUGGAAAUGGAAAGAAAACGCUUUAUAGAUACUAUAAAAAAUAAUCCCCAUCUCCAACCCACCAAGAGACAAAUACAACAUCACCAAACACUAGAGAGAACAUGAAGAAAAUGAUCUGACUUUUGGUACUACCAAGAGAAUCUGCUCAUUAGCCAAGUCAAUGGCUGUCAACCUUGGCUGCACAUUAAAAUCAUGUGGGCAACACAGAAAGGGAGGGGGGUAAGCAAUGAAAUGCUGUAACCCACUUGAGACUAAUUAAAUCAGACUCUCUGGGCCCAGGCACAGGCAUAUUUUAAAAAGCUUCCAUGGUGAUUCUAGAAGCAAUUAAAGUGAGCUGGCAAUAAUUUCUAAGCCUCUCAACCUUAACAGAAGCUCUGAAAGGCCUAAAACUUUAGGUUUUAAAUAUCAAGUUUUUAAAAAGUCAAAUAUUUUUGCCCUCUAUUGAAAUCCUAUAAAAAUCAGGAAAAGGACUUAAACAUUAUUGUAUGCAUUCUAUUCAUUUAAUAAAUGAGUGUCUUGCUUCCAGUCACACAACUAGCUAAUAAUCUUUUUUUUUUUUAAGAUUUUAUUUAUUUGAGAGAGAGAGAGAGAGACACAGCGAGAGAGAGCACAAGCAGGGUGAGUGGCAGCCCGAUGCGGGGCUCGAUCCCACCUGAGCCGAAGGCAGACGCUUAACGACUGAACCACCCAGGUACCCCUACAACUAGCUAAUAAAAGAGCUAGAAUCUCAGGUUCCCAAGUCAGUGAUGCUGACAAAUAAGCCUAUUACUUGCUAAUGAAACCCAACUAAAAAAAACUGGAACCUGAGAAGUAGCCUUAUUUUUCAGCCUGUAUUUGUAAAUAUAAAUAUAAACAUAAACAUAUACAUAUUUAAAGCAGCUUUAUCAAGAAAGAACUUGGGUAUCCUACAAUUCACCCAUUAGAAGUAUACAAUUCGGUGGUUUGAGAAUAUUCACAGAGUUGGGCAACCAUCACCACAGUCAAUUGUAGAAAAUGUCAUCGCUCCUCAAAGAAACACGGUACCCCAUCAGGAGUCCCACUCCUCCAGCCUGUUCCUCUGUUCAGCCAGUGAUACACUUCCCUGUCUCUGCCUGUGUUUUUUCUGAGCCUUUCAUAUAAAUGGAAUCAAACAAUAUAUGGUCCUGGAUUCUUUCAUUUAGCAUGUUUUGAAAGGCUGUCCAUGCUGCAGCAGGUACCAGCACUUUACUGCUUUUUAUUGCCAAACAGUAACAUCCUGCCAUACAGAUCAUUUGUCAAUACAUUUCAUCAGCUGCUUCUACUUUUUGGCUAUUAUAAAUAUUUGUAUAAGUUUCUAUGUAGGGGCGCCUGGGUGGCUCAGUCGUUAGGCGUCUGCCUUCGGCUCAGGUCAUGAUCCCAGAAUCCCGGGAUCGAGCCCCGCAUCGGACUCCCUGCUCCGCGGGGAGCCUGCUUCUCCCUCUCCCACUCCCCCUGCUUGUGUUCCCUCUCUGUGUCUCUCUCUGUCAAAUAAAUAAAUAAAAUCUUUAAAAAAAAAAAAAAGUUUCUACAUAGACAAUGUGUUUUCAUUUCUCUUGGCUAUUUACGUAGGAAUAGAUUUGCUGGAAACCCUAGUUUGAACACCUUGAGGGACUGCCGAACUCUCUUCCACCCCAUUUUACAUUCCCACCAGCCAUGUGUGAGAGUUUGCAUUUCUCCAUAACUGUCUGUCUUUGAUUACAGCCAUCUUAUUUAGCAGGUGUGAAGAAGUAUCUCGUUUUGAUUUGCAUUUCCUUGAUGGCUAAUGUUAAGCAUCUUUUCAUGUGCUUCCUUGGACGGGUAUCUAUUCAAUCUUUUUCUGAAUUUUUUCAGUUCGGUUGUCUUUUUAUUCUUCACUUACAAAAGUUAAUACUUGAUACAAGUUCCUUAUCAGAUAUAUGAUUUACAAAUACCAAAUGCAAUUUUAACUCAAAUGUGUGGGUGUGAACUGCUCUUAAAAGCACAAAUAUAAAACAACAGAAAAUGAUUCUGAUUUACUGUUAAGUGCUGGUGGUAGUGACAUAAGCAAUAUGUAUAGGAAAAGGUAGAAAAAGAAAAUAUCCGUAGUUGUUUUUUCUGAAGGAAUGAGAGGAUUUUUCACUUCCCUAAGCUUUCCCAUUUUUCCUACAUUAAAUGUACAAUUAAUUUAAUGCAUAAUUACAAAUGCACAUAUAAUUUUCUACAUUAAACAUGCUACCUCACCAGUCUUCCCACUAAAUCUCCAGCAUCUGCCCACCCCAAAUGAGCAAAACUGAAAAAGGACUGGUUGAAAAACAGUUUUACUUAUAUGUCACCAUAUAAAAUAGUAGUCUCACACUUUCAGGAAAACUGUGAGAUUGGUGAAUUUAACAAGUUUCAACUAAAAAUAUCUCCAGAAAUAGAGGAAUUUAUCUUAGGAGGAGGCCUGCUCUGCCACGUGGAGUAAGCCCCUAGAAGGACUUACAGGGAAAUCAGUAAAAGACCAGGGCAGGAUUGCUAUGGAAGGCACCUUGUGUCUCUGCAAUCCCAGAGAACUGAAACAACAGUUGGAAAGGGAGCUUGUUCUUAAAUUGCCUUAAGUCAACUGCCAUGAUUAUUGCUUGUGAGCCCCCUUGAAGUCUACAGCAGCAUUGAGUUAUAUGGCCUACUGAAGAUGUCCCAGGUCAGGUCACAUCAAACAAACCUGACCUCUCUCUGAAAUUUAAUGAAGAUUUAAAACAUUAUGAUAAACUUUGUUUAUGCUAAUUCUCAAGGAAAUUUUUCCCAGAUUAAACAUUUUACAAUAUUUUAAUAUAACAUCAUAUUAUAGGUCCCCCGACUGCUAAUUAUACAUCAGUGCCUAUACUUACUAUAACUAGAAGCAACUCCACACAUUUUUUUUCUCUAUAUACCGUUUUCCCCACAAUACUUUUCAAAAGAUCCUAACCUUUGGUUUUCUUCAUGUUCUAAACCUACUAGGCACACAUUACCCACCUGUCUGAGAUAGAGAAAAAAACUUGAAUACUGUCCAGCUUCAGGAAGGUAUGAAAGAAACACAGUGAUGCAAAUUAAUAAGACGGUAGAAUCUUUUCCAACUUUCUUCAGUGACUAGGAAUAAGCAGAAAGAAACAUGUAAAAAGCAGGCAACACUAAAGUCACUGAUAUUCCAGGAUAUUGGCUUCAUUGUUUUGUUCUGUUAAGGUGAAUUAUAAAAGUUGAAGGGAUUACAAAAGCAGGUAAACAUUAACUCUAUGGUUACAAGUCCUCUAUGUUUAAAGUAUUACAGCUUAAAACCAAAACAAGUUUCCCCCACAAAUACUUGCUCAUCUUUGUUAACCAUACUGGUUCACAUCCUAUGAACAGACCCUGAAAAAACAUUGUUCCAGAACCUUUUAAGAAAAUCUCAUCUCUCUCAUUCAUAAUGUAACCCUUUUAAAUCCAUAAACAGUUCAGGGUUUUUACAAUAUAUAAAUUUACUAUAUUCUUUAAGAUGUUAAUAAUAUUCAAUUUGCCUGUAAAACUGGUAGAGAAAGAAGUAUGCUCGUCAUGGGGUCAGUGACAAGAUUCUCUGACCAGUAACUUUUGAAUGUUACAACUUUGUCUGAAAGUCCUUCUUACAUCCCUUUUUACACAGAAUUGCUGAGAAGACCAAGAAGUGUGUGGUUUUCUAAGGACUGGAGAGUGCUUCAGUGCAUUCUAGGGUCACCGUAAUUGUAACCUUCAUGUGUGAACAGCAAAAGCAGCUCAUGUCUAUGGGGACUGGCUGCACACCAGACACGAGACUAGUUAAUUUACUGUAAUCCCUGCAGUAGGCCUGAAAGAGUACACGGCAGCAGUCGGGAGUUUCCACACAUAACUUGAUCACUACAUGACAAGAAAAUGGGAGGCCUGACGGGCGCCCGGGUCCAUUCUCUAAGUACCUCCUUCUCAAUGUCUGACAUCAUGGCACAAACAAAACGAGCAGGGUCCGCAGGUCAUGACCUGAGGGACCUUUUUAGAAAAGAAUUUGAUGAGUUAUUUUUCUUUUACACAUUUUUCCUAAAAAAGUAAACUUGGGUGUUUAAAAACAGCAAUCAAAUCUCUGGUUAUUUUUUUCUGCACGUAUUUUCUUCAAGAACAAUUUCAAGUCAGAUAAAGUGGGAAAAGGGGAGGGAUAAGAUUCUUCUUCUCAGUACUUUUUCUUAAUAGAAUCCUUCCAAAAAAAAUUUUUAAAUGCCAAAAAUUUUAAAAAGUUACAGGAAACAAAGAAUCCAUUCAACUUGGAAAAUACAAGUUCAAAGCCUCUGGUCAAAGUGGAUAUAUAUUAACAAACUAGAAAAUAACUAGUCAGACCGAAUCUAUUCAUCUUUUCUGAAUUUAAGUGAAUAAAAUGAACAAUUCAAGCGGCCACCUUCGUUUUGUUUACAAAAAAAACCCAAAAAACCAUGCAAUAAGAAAAAAACAACUUCCUUCCUACACCCUCAUCAGGGAUUAAGUGGACCUUUUUUCUCUCCUUCCUUAGGAUACCUACCACACACUUGACUUAAAAAUAAAUUCUAGGGGUGCCUGGUGUCGGUUAAGUGUCUGACUCAUGAGAUUGAGCCCCAAGUUGAGCUCCACGCUGGGCAUGGAACACGUAAGAUUCUCUCACUUUCCCUCUGCCCAUCCCUCUCUUCCUCCCUAAUAAAAAAAAUGAAAAAAGGAAAGAAAUAUAAAUUCUAUAUAUUCCUUGGUGCACAAACACCUUCAGGUCUUAUGUGCAAAUUUUUUUUUUAUUUUUACUGGAGAAAGAAAUGGAUAUUUACCGCAAAAGGGUCUGCUUGUUUCCAAGAAAUCUUAGCUCCCCAGGAAAGCGGUCUCAUUUUCUCUGGCAGAGAUUCUGGAACAGCCAAUAAGAUGAAGCAGAUGUCCAGAAAAGCCACCACUGUGGCCACCAGCACAACAAGGCGGUCUCCAUAACUGGCUGAAAGGUAUGCUCCAAUGGCUGGGCUGCUGACCAGACUGGCUGCAAAGGUGGCUGAGACCUGUGGAAAAGCACUCUCUCACCCUGGGUCCCAUCCUCUACCACACGCACAUGCAGAAAGCGCACACUCACUCACCCCACCUGCCGCAGGUGCACACCUAUGUUCCUGCUUCUUACGCAGGGUCCCACAGAUAUGUACCUAUAGCCAUCCCUCCCUGGCUUUAAAGAAAACAAAAGGAACGUGUUGCACAUACAUUUUAAGAAUGAAAGAGAAAGUCAUUUCCUUUUAAGGACUUGUUCCCAAACUAUGAACUAACUGCAGAUAUCCUGAAAAGCUACAAGAGUAAAAAAAUAUCUUAUUAGAAAUAAAAAUUGAGAAAAACUUCCCCAUGAAUAAAACAUACACACUUUAGUCUUCUUUAAUUGGAAAACAGGGAUGUGGGGAGAAAGGCAUGAAAAAACAAUGUCUGCAGGGCUAAUGGUAAAACCUAAAAAUUACUCAGGGACUGUGUUGAUUUCAUAGUCUAAAAACAUGCACAGUUUUACCAUUUUAUUAUUGGUGACCAUUGCAUUAGCACAGAGAAGGGAAAAAAAAAAAUCCCUGAUAUUCUUAGAGAAAAAGCUGUAACAACAACAACAAAGAUCUGUUGAGAGACCGUUGAAGCUUUUUACCUUGAGAUCCCUGGGCUGUUAUUUUCUGUCACUCCCCACCUCCAUUCUAUACCAGAGACACAUUUGCACCUGAAUCCAUGUGGAGCCUCUUCACAUGGUUUUCCUAAUGUAGAGCGCCUCCUUUGUCUUGGAAUGUAAUCUGAAUGUUCAGAAGCUUAAAUGGACAGUCUCCAAAUUAUAACCAGAUUGAAUGCCAAAAAUAGACUUAUAAACUGGUUAUCUAAACUUCCAAUGGGUUUUAAAAGAAACCACUGAAAUCAUUACCUGUGCUCAAAAUUAUGACAACACCUGGUUAGCCAAUGACAUUCUUCCUUCACCCAGCACCCGCAAACGAAUGUGAAAAUACAAUAUACUUGAUCUUAGUAUUAUACUAAAAAUACUAUAGAAGCCAAAAGUCCAAUAACAACUGUCUGGGGGAGAAAAGGAGGCAUAGAGAAUUCCAACUUGGGGAACAGGAAUGUCUUGGUUCAGUAUUUACUAAGUACCCACUCUGUACCUGAUGAAAAAGAAGACAGAGCUCCUGCCCUUCAGGUUUUUCCAUAUUAUUUGAAAAGAUCAAGGCAGUCACAUAAGUCACAUUAUAAAUGGCAGUGACAUGCAGGCAGCUAUGGGAGCACUGCCACAGGGUCCUCCAGCGCCUAACCACCUCAUUUCUGCACAAAAUGGGUCAAUAAGUCAUUCAUUAGUAAGUUUUUCAUUUCCUUAAUCUUCACCACAUUUCUGCAUGUAAACAAGAUUACUACUCAAUGUACAAAUAAACAGCAAUAGAAAAGUUAAAUAACUCAAGUUCAUAUGAUAAGCAAAAAUGAGAAGCCAUUUUCUAAUCUCGAAAAUCAUCUUUCCCACCAAAACGUACAGUUAGACUUACAGCUGCUUAAUUUCAGCUGAAACUGGUUUUUAUAAUCCCACAGCAUUCCAAGUCUAAAGGAUCUAAUAAUCACUCGAGUUUAAAGAAUUUAUUUCAUUAUUUGUCAAAAUGGCAUUUCUAAAUCUACCAUCGUUAAUUGUCUUCUAGCCAAAUGGACAUUUUAUAAAAUAAAAACUUUUCAAUAACUCAAGAUUCAGUCAUUACAAACGAUGGAAUUAAAUUUAUUAUUCCAGAACAAUGAUUUAAUAUAUAAGAAUACAUUUGAUACAUGAGUUUUGAAUGGAAAAUGACUGCAUUCUACUAAGCUCCCCCUCAGAAAAUUUUGGAAGGGAUACAGUAGCUACUUUGGAUGUAGUGAGAUUAAUGCUCAUUAAUAAGUAAUGCAUGCACUCCAAACCAUGGCAAACUUUUUAAUUCAUCUUUCCCAUCCAUGUGAUGUACCCUGCAACACUGCUCUGAGAAAGAAGUGCUCUGUUUUCUAGUAUUUCCAUAAUUUAUUUGUAAACUGCUACAGAGAAAACCUGAAAUUGGCAUAGGCAGAAAUCUUGAUGAGAAUUUUUCUUUUAAGCUUUCAAAACAGAGGUUAAGAAAUGAGUUUAGGGGGCACCUGGAUGGCUCAGUCGGUUAAGUGUCUGACUCUUGAUUUCAGCUCAGGUCAUGAUCUCAGGGUGGUGGUAUCGAGCCCUGCGUGGGGCUCCUUGCUCAGACGGGAGUCUGCUUCUCUCUCUCUCCCCCUCUCCCCCUCUCGUCCUCUCUCUCUCUCAAAUAAAAUAAAUCUUAAAAAAAAAAAAAAAGAAAUGAGUUUAGGACUUCAGAGUCUAUGUAUCUGAAGAGCUGAAAGCCCCAUAAAAUGACUUAGACAGCAGGGCAGAUGUUCUUAGACACAGAGGGGCAGGCCUACCAGUCCUCCUAAUGCAGCCCUGAUUCGUUAGGUCCCUCAGCGCUCAGGACUCCCUCCUGCCAUCAACCCCUCUGCUGCCGUGCACCUAUAUUUUUUUCCUCCCUAAGUGGGACACCGAACCAGGUAGAGCACUUGAGAGAUCAGUUUCUUCAAAUAUGCGAAAAAUAAACAUAGAGAUGUAUUUCAUAGUGAGAAACAGAAUUUAGUGUGAAAAUCUCUAUGUAAUAACAGUGAAUAUUCUGAGAGCCAAUUUAAUCAUGUGGAAUAUGGAAAUAAAAGUAAAAAGCUAGUUGCCAAGUUUCAAGUAUCAGAAAGGGUGGAGAGCAGCCGCAGUUCCCUAAAUUGUUCCAUCCGAUCAGUUUUGUUCCUCUCCAACAGCCGAGGCUCAAUACUUGCUGGAUGACUGAGUUUCUGGGAUCUGUGACCCCAUGAACUUCUAUAUAAAAUGCAGUAACUUAAAACUCAGAGCCGCACUGUUGCUUAGUUUGCAAGUAUUAUCUUAGUAUUUAUCUAAAUCCCUAAUUCACCUCACGCUCAGCAUGGCUCUGGUAAAUAAAUCUAAAGGUUGACUUCACCACCACAAUCUCUCAGUGAGCAUUAACUCAGUUAAUAGGACUAUUCCUUGCUGCAGCCCUGAAAGAACUGCCACCUUCUUGGUGUAGUGGAGGAGUUUCAUUAAGGAAGGAAGGUGUACAUACUUUAUACAUUCUUUAACGGCUCUAAAACCCCAGCUAGACUUGAUUGACAAUCUCGUAAAUAACUGGCCGUAAAUCCUCCUUUAUCUCUAAGAUACGCAGCAGCCUGCAAGCUUUUUUCCUUUCCUUUUUUUUUUUAGUUCUGUCAUCUUCACAUCUGACGAGUUAGGGCACACGUAAAGGUCACGGGCCAACACCCUGACUCCUGUGACCAAGUCCAGGCACCUUACCCGCUGGCCGACCGCACAGCCAGCUCUCCUCUCUCGCAUUCCUCUCGGCAGCCCGAUGAACACCCUAAGCGUCACCGCCAUCUUACAGAUGAAGUGUGCUAGCAAGGGCGCCUAAGUCAUGCUCUUUCUCUGAACCCUGUCCUGAAAGCAUUAAUGCUAGGCCACAGCUUUGUGAGUGGUUUUUGUUUGUUUGUUUGUUUUCGCUGAAAGCAAAGAACACAGAUUGUUUUUAAACUGGAGGGGAAUUAAUAUCUCCAUGGGUAUUUCCCAUCAUGUACAGAAAAGCUGCACAAAUGUGGUAAGUGAAGCUUCUGGCUGACUGUUAUGAGCCACCCUGCACACCCCUGCCUCCUUUGAAGGCUUCCUAGAGCCCCUCCCUGUGUCCUCUUCCACGGCAUUGUGGGGACGGCAGAUGGAGACAGUCUUAGGAUGUGCUAUGAGAGACAUUCAGGGUAGCAGGGAAGAUGAAUGGGAGGGGAAAGCAGGUAGUAGGUAGAGGGGAAGUAAUGUUGAAGAAGUUGUUUUUAAACUAAUGUCUAAAGUCAACAAAGUGAAAGCUGCUGUUGUGUUUUAUGGAACAGCAACAACUGAUCUUUGUGCAGUUAUGACUCCUUCCUGUCUUCCAGGACGUAGGAUUUACAGGGAAGAGAAAGGCUUGGGAAAGGAGAGAAGUAACCUGGGUUUCUGGCCUUCAGUCCUCCUCCAACCUGUUCAACAACCCAGCCAGUUUUCUUCUUCCACCUUUUCUCACUGUAAACAUUUUCCAACACAGGGAAGUUGAAAGAAGAGCACAGUGCAUGCUGAAGGGGAGAAUGCAGCACCCCAACUAUACCCCUUUGCACGUAGACUGUUUUGGUUGAAGGCAAUUAAGACCCAGCACACUCAGGUGUCAUGAAAUACCAUCUCUGAGAGCUCCUUCAAGGUGAAGCAAUUUUGCUGACAUCACUUCCCCUGGGACAUCUUCUUCAUCACACUGCUCUCCUCUACUCUGAUUACCAGCUCAUUUCUUCCGUAACUCUGCAGAGGUUCUAUCUGAAUCUCACUUCUAGCAUUAUCUUCUUCACUGCGUUUCCACCCUCAUUGGCCAGUUCCUUUUCAAUGAUCUAUUUUUGUGAACUGUCAUGUAGGUUUAUCACUGGAGACAAGGAGGCAACACAGCUACAUGCUCUGCUGUCUGUGCACGAACUGAGAUGUGCAGUGACCGGUCCCCAACAGACUCUGCAAGAAGUGGCAUCACUGGUCACUGAGCAUGAUGCCAUCUGUGACGUAUGCAGUGUUCUGUGGCCUGAGGAGCUAGGAGCAGUCCAUACUUUAUGCGAUUACUCAUAAUCACUACACCACGGUAAUGGAAAUGUGAGCUGUAUUGUUGUAGGGAGCUGGUAUUUUUUAACUGAACUAGAUACAACUGAAAUUUGUGCAUACUGUAAUGUGCAAAAAGAGGACUGCCUAUACUUAAUGGAGUUUUUAAUGUCAUAGAGAAAUUAUGAUGAUAUAAUUAGUGAUUGCUGAUACAAGAACAAAGAUAAAUUGUUACAGUCUCCGUGUAAGCUGGAUCUUGACUAUUUAAAAAUGCAUAGAAAAAGACUGGAAAAAAAUAGUAAGUCAACAAUACUUACUGAACACCUGUCAUUUGCUGAGAACUGUUCUAGGUGCUGAGGACAGCAGUAAGCAAAGCAGACAAAAAUUCAUGCCUUUAAGAAGGUUCUAGUCUAAAAGAGAAAGGUUGAGAAGGACACACAAUAACAACAUAAAGCAAAAUACACAGCAUGUCAGAGGUGAAAUUAUAAUGCUUUUGGAGAAAAAACAGAGAAGAGGGACUGAAGUGAUGAGAACAGGUUACAUUAUUCAAGACAAUAGUCAGUAAAGGCUUUACUAAAAAAUGACAUCUGGGUGAAAAGCUAAGGGUUAUGGAGUGAGGUCAGUAUCUGGGGGGAAAGCAAUCAAGCAGAAAAAAACAGAACUGGCAAAGCCCUCAGGCAUACACAGGCUUGCUUGGAGCUAGGUCAGCAGGGAGCACAGGGAUGAUGCCAGAGGAGAAAAUGGAGUGGGGAUGGGAUUGGUUAAGAAUGCCACAAGCUGGCUUAUAUUUUAUCAGGAUCUCUACUGAAAGGAAACCAGGGAGUCUUCUCAUUAUAGAUCUAUUUUGAAGGCACAACCACAGAAUCUGCUGAUGGAAUGGUUUUGGGAAGAGAAAGGAGUCAACACUUACUCCAGGGAUUUUGGCCUGAGUGAGAAUGGCAUGACCAGUAACUGAAAUAAGUAAGGCCUGGGAGCAGGUCAGGCCAAAGGGGAAGAUCAGGAAUUAGUUUUGGCAUGUUAACUUUGAGAUGCUUAUCAGACCAGGAAAUAGAGGUGUCACAAUAAGGCAACUGGGUAUAUAAAUCUGGAGUUCUGGACUAAGGUCUAGGAAGAUAUUUGAGAGCUGAAAGUGGUAAGUCUGAUAAUGUCAUCCAGGAAACGAGUGUAGAGUUAGAAGAAACUGUUGUCCAAGGCUUGAGUCAUUCGUAUUUCGGAAGUCUAGGGGAUGAGGAACACAUAUGACUUGCCAGAGAGAGGGUUAGGAAAGAUGUUAAUUUGAAAACAAAAUUAAAACAAUCAAGUUAUCAUAUGAUCCAGCAAUUCUAGUACCCCUCGGUGUAUUCUUAGGGCAAAGUGAAAACAUAGGGCCACAUGAAAAUUUGUACACAAAUGUAAUGUUCACAGCAGUAUCAUUACUCAGGCCAAGAAGUGGAAGAAAUACAAAUGUCUAUCACUAAUGAACAGAUGAACUUGCAUGUUCACACAACAGAAUAUUAUUUGGCCAUAAAAAAAUGAAGUACUAACAUGUGCUGCAACAAGGUGGGCCUGGAUGAUAUCAUGGAAGUGAAGGACAGUCACAAAAGACUAUUUUACAGUAUGACUCCAUUUUUUUUUUUAAGUGUUUUAAGAUUUUAUUUAUUUGAGAGAGAGAGAGAGGGAGAGAGAGAGCACGCAGAGGCAGGAAGGACAAGCAGACUCCAUGCUGAGCGUGACCCUGAGAUCAAGACCUGAGCCAAAACCAAGGCUGGACGCUUAACCAACAGACACCCAGGCGUCCCAGUAUGACUCCAUUUAUAUGAAAUGUCCAGAACAGGCAAAUCUAUAGAAGCAGAAAGGAGAUCUGUGCUGAUGGCUGUACAAGUCUGUGAACACAUUAAACCCAUGGAAUGUACACUUUUACUGGGUGACUUGCAUGGUAUAUGAAUUUCAUCUGAAUAAAGCUGCCAGAGGAAAAAACCUGAAACUGGAGAAUUCA